AGAACUGCAUACUGUUGAGGUAUCCCGAUGCCCGGAUGCUAGGGUAGAAAGGUGGAAGCUGGUGAAAGUCCAGCGCUGUGCCGCAACUGUAACCAUCCCAUACAGGAUGGAAGCCAGGAUGCCUACCUCGACGCUGUUGUUCGA
rnacentral:ncRNA from 2 species